rnacentral:lncRNA from 1 species
CCUCGUCGUCCUUGCUCGAAUUCGGACGGCUACCACUCACAAUCCGUUGAAAAUGGUACGAAUUGGUACAAUGGAUAGCUAUCCAAGCCUGAUCUUCCUUAAAGGAUUUUGAAAUUCCUAUCCGAAUUUCCCCCUUUUUUCAUCCGAAUAUCCCCCUAUAAAUUUCCCCUCUCCUUCACUGUUUAAGGGGCGAGGAGAAAACCAAAAAGAAUACAUAUUUCCUUUUUUACUCUAUGGGAAUACACAAUUUCACCUAGAAAAAAUAUUGAGUUUUAAAACAAAUCCUCCCUUCAAAACCAUUGUUUUUCCUCAUCUAAUCAUAGCCGAAAAGAGUAAAAAAAUCAAAGGUCGGUUCUUUAGUCGAUUCCUAUUCGUUAAAGUCGAGAUCAUGGUAGUGGAAUCGCUUCAAGCUCAUCGUCUCAGUCGCUUCCCUCAUAAAGGUAAAAACUCGUUUCUCUUCUUACUGUUCUGUUAAUUUCAGGUGCACCUGGAUUAUUGUGUCUUAAGUUUUGUGUGGUAUUUUAAGUUUUCUCAUCGAGCUUUGUAAUUGUUUCUCUCAUGUUGUGAUUAUAGGAUGAGUGUGUGUUGCCGCUUAUUUCUUAUUUUCGCAUACGAGUUUGCAAUUCUCUUUCUAAAAUGUGUUAUGUUUCUUUCAUAUUGCUAACUUUCCCUUGCUGCUGUCUAAGAACUUAGAAAGGUUGAUUUUUUAGGAAUUAUUGUUUGAUUGUUGUAAUAUGAUUUGGUAUCAUAGAUUCAUAUCAAUGUUAGCCUAAUCUCGUGUUAUGGAUAGAUUUAGUUGAGUUCUUGUUCUAACUGGCUUCAGUUUCAUAAUAAAUAAGUUUGGUUUGGUUUGUGUCGAAGAUGAUUUUUCUGACUAAAGUUAUUACUAUUCUUAUUUUCUAACCUGCAUAAUUGUAUUUUGUUGAAAUUUCGAACUGCUAUACUUGUAUUAGUUAAGUCAUGGUCGCUACGCAUACACGGUAAUAACUUGUAUUCGACGCCAUAUGUUUUUCGCUCUUUUACUCUAAGCUAAAUAUGGGAAUCACGAUAUGCAUAGCUAUUUAAACUCAUUUUUGUGUCUUUGCUACUCCUCGUUCCAAAACUAUUUCACUUGAAUGUUGCUAAACCCGUUUACUGAUGUUCAUAUGCUAUUAUGACUUAUAAUUUAUCCACUCUUAUUGCUAAUGAAUAAUCUUUGCUAAUGUGCAUCCUUUACUUGUCAAAUGUUUGCCAUGUGCAUAAAGUUGUGUCUUGUUUGUUAAUUCCAUAUUUAUUUUCCUUUUUAUAUUUGUUGAAGUGAUAUUUUUUUUUUAUUAUUUAUUAUUAAAAAAGAUAAAAUAAAAUAAAAUUGGUGGUCUAUUUAAUAUAAUUACGUAAAUUACCACUUAGUUUCUUUGCUUGUGAUUUGAAUAUUAUGCUAAGUUUUUAGAUUUUGUCCAAUUCUAAUUCUUCUUCUUUUACUUUUGUUUGAUUUAUGUGAUGUUGGCGGAGUCCAACUUGGACCCAACUCCUAUCUCUUGCAUUCUCCUUCUUAGCGAGUCAACCUCGCAAUUGGAACUAUGUGGAGUUCGAAAAGAGAAUAUAUGUAGUAAGGGAAGCUUAUAUACAUGUGGAGGGAGCUGAAUACAUAUCGAUAUACACUUGUAUGCAGUGCAGUAUACACAGUGAUACAGGAAUAUACGAGAUUCGUAUACACGGUAUACAGUCACGAAAAUGAGGUCAAAAGCCCCAAAUUACAGCAAUUUGUUCAUUUGAUAAAAUUGGGCCAAAGACCCAUACAUUUGUGUAGAUUUUUGAUAGUUUUAGGACAGGGAAAUUGGCGCCAAAGGCUCAACAAUUUUGGCAGCCUUAUUGUUAAACUAAGACAGCUGCAACUGAUUUGAAUGGACCAAAUGCCCAAAAUGAAAUUAGGCCCAAAUACUGGUCUAGGCGAACAGAAAACCAGACUUGGGCCCAAAACCCUCUCUCUCUCUCUCUCCCUCCCCCUCUCUCUUAUUUUAUCUGUUUCGUAUUUGUUUAAUUGUUUAUUUGCUAGUCAAUUUUAAGGUUUUCCUAAUUCGAUUUCCCCA